rnacentral:rRNA from 1 species
GUGGGGAAUAUUGGGCAAUGGGCGCAAGCCUGACCCAGCAACGCCGCGUGAAGGAAGAAGGCUUUCGGGUUGUAAACUUCUUUUCUCAGGGACGAAGAAAGUGACGGUACCUGAGGAAUAAGCCACGGCUAACUACGUGCCAGCAGCCGCGGUAAUACGUAGGUGGCAAGCGUUAUCCGGAUUUACUGGGUGUAAAGGGCGUGUAGGCGGGACUGCAAGUCAGAUGUGAAAACCAUGGGCUCAACCUGUGGCCUGCAUUUGAAACUGUAGUUCUUGAGUACUGGAGAGGCAGACGGAAUUCCUAGUGUAGCGGUGAAAUGCGUAGAUAUUAGGAGGAACACCAGUGGCGAAGGCGGUCUGCUGGACAGCAACUGACGCUGAGGCGCGAAAGCGUGGGGAGCAAACAGG